GAACGAACGCUGGCGGCAGGCCUAACACAUGCAAGUCGAGCGGACCCUUCGGGGUUAGCGGCGGACGGGUUAGUAACGCGUGGGAACGUGCCCAAAGGUACGGAAUAGCCUCGGGAAACUGAGAGUAAUACCGUAUGUGCCCCUCGGGGGAAAGAUUUAUCGCCUUUGGAUCGGCCCGCGUUGGAUUAGGUAGUUGGUGGGGUAAUGGCCUACCAAGCCGACGAUCCAUAGCCGGCCUGAGAGGGCGAACGGCCACACUGGAACUGAGAUACGGUCCAGACUCCUACGGGAGGCAGCAGUGAGGAAUAUUGGUCAAUGGGCGCAAGCCUGAACCAGCCAUCCCGCGUGCAGGAAGACGGCCCUAUGGGUUGUAAACUGCUUUUCCAGGGAGAGAAACUUGCGCACGUGUUGCGCAAUUGACGGUACCCUGGGAAUAAGCAUCGGCUAACUCCGUGCCAGCAGCCGCGGUAAUACGGAGGAUGCGAGCGUUAUCCGGAUUCAUUGGGUUUAAAGGGUGCGUAGGCGGACUAUUAAGUCAGUGGUGAAAUCCUGCAGCUUAACUGCAGAACUGCCAUUGAUACUGAUAGCCUUGAGUUUGGUUAAGGUAGGCGGAAUGUGUAAUGUAGCGGUGAAAUGCUUAGAUAUUACACAGAACACCAAUUGCGUAGGCAGCUUACUGAGCCGACACUGACGCUGAGGCACGAAAGCGUGGGGAUCGAACAGGAUUAGAUACCCUGGUAGUCCACGCCGUAAACGAUGAUUACUCGCUGUUGGCGAUACACUGUCAGCGGCUAAGCAAAAGCAAUAAGUAAUCCACCUGGGGAGUACGGCCGCAAGGUUGAAACUCAAAGGAAUUGACGGGGGCCCGCACAAGCGGAGGAACAUGUGGUUUAAUUCGAUGAUACGCGAGGAACCUUACCUGGGCUUAAAUGUAGAGUGCAUUUUCUAGAGAUAGGAAUUCCCUUCGGGGCUUUCUGCAAGGUGCUGCAUGGUUGUCGUCAGCUCGUGCCGUGAGGUGUCGGGUUAAGUCCCAUAACGAGCGCAACCCUUAUCGUUAGUUGCCAUCUGGUAAAGCAGGGGACUCUAGCGAAACUGCCACCGUAAGGUGAGAGGAAGGUGGGGAUGACGUCAAAUCAGCACGGCCCUUAUGUCCAGGGCUACACACGUGUUACAAUGGUCGGUACAGAGGGCAGCUACCUGGUGACAGGAUGCUAAUCUCGAAAACCGGUCUCAGUUCGGAUCGAAGUCUGCAACUCGACUUCGUGAAGCUGGAUUCGCUAGUAAUCGCGCAUCAGCCAUGGCGCGGUGAAUACGUUCCCGGGCCU
rnacentral:rRNA from 1 species